AUGGUUUUCUUUACCCCGCCUUGUAACACGGACCAAGGAGUCUGACAUGUGUGCGAGUCAACGGGCCAGUAAACCCGUAAGGCGCAAGGAAGCUGAUUGGCGGGAUCCCUCACGGGUUGCACCGCCGACCGACCUUGAUCUUCUGAGAAGGGUUCGAGUGAGAGCAUGCCUGUCGGGACCCGAAAGAUGGUGAACUAU
rnacentral:rRNA from 17 species